rnacentral:lncRNA from 1 species
CAAUGAAUAGAAGAAGGAGAAGGCGAAAAAAGGACGGGCACGACAUGAAAUCGGCGAUUUGGAUCCAAAAAGCUUAGGGCUUCUGCUAUUGCGAUCCACGCAAACUGGUGUUUAUGGUACACCACGAAUAGGAGAAUGAAGAGACAAUGGAUGGAGACAAAAGCAGCGGUAACGGACGGAGGUGAAAACUGCAGAAAAUGGCCUGAGAAAAAUCGCGAAGGAGAGCAGAGAGAGGCAGGGCGUUUUUAUGUCUUUUUG